rnacentral:rRNA from 1 species
UUAUGGAAGAAAAAGUCGUAACAAGGUUUCCGUAGGUGCACCUGCGGAAGGAUCAUUA